rnacentral:rRNA from 1 species
ACGCUGGCGGCAGGCCUAACACAUGCAAGUCGAGCUGUAGAGAGAAGCUUGCUUCUCUUGAGAGCGGCGGACGGGUGAGUAAUGCCUAGGAAUCUGCCUGGUAGUGGGGGAUAACGUUCGGAAACGGGCGCUAAUACCGCAUACGUCCUACGGGAGAAAGCAGGGGACCUUCGGGCCUUGCGCUAUCAGAUGAGCCUAGGUCGGAUUAGCUAGUUGGUGAGGUAAUGGCUCACCAAGGCGACGAUCCGUAACUGGUCUGAGAGGAUGAUCAGUCACACUGGAACUGAGACACGGUCCAGACUCCUACGGGAGGCAGCAGUGGGGAAUAUUGGACAAUGGGCGAAAGCCUGAUCCAGCCAUGCCGCGUGUGUGAAGAAGGUCUUCGGAUUGUAAAGCACUUUAAGUUGGGAGGAAGGGUUGUAGAUUAAUACUCUGCAAUUUUGACGUUACCGACAGAAUAAGCACCGGCUAACUCUGUGCCAGCAGCCGCGGUAAUACAGAGGGUGCAAGCGUUAAUCGGAAUUACUGGGCGUAAAGCGCGCGUAGGUGGUUUGUUAAGUUGGAUGUGAAAUCCCCGGGCUCAACCUGGGAACUGCAUUCAAAACUGACUGACUAGAGUAUGGUAGAGGGUGGUGGAAUUUCCUGUGUAGCGGUGAAAUGCGUAGAUAUAGGAAGGAACACCAGUGGCGAAGGCGACCACCUGGACUAAUACUGACACUGAGGUGCGAAAGCGUGGGGAGCAAAC